rnacentral:rRNA from 1 species
ACACGACGCUCUUCCGAUCUCGGGUACUGAUCCGAGGAAGGACGCAGUUACACGCGAUAUUCAACCUGAAUCGCAAAACUGCGGAUGGUCGGGUGUCUGAAUGCUCAAAGCCGGAGCUACUGGUCACGCUCCAACACACCCCUUCGGUGUCUCACUUCCGCGUGAUGUGAGAAUUCAAAAAUAUUUUCACGUGACCACUAGCAGGGCAUGUAGUUAAUUUAAGCUUAUAAGUUAAUACACAAAGAAACUAAACAGGAUGGACUGAGUAGUGGCGAAUGAAAAGUCCAAAGACCGAUCCGAAUUCAAGUUGUGGAUCCUACACUUCGGAAGACUCCAAACUACCUGGAACGGUAGGCCGCAGAGAGUGAUAGCCUCUUUAGAGUCGGAAGAAGCGUAAACAGACUGAGUAGUAUUUGUUGGGAAGCAAAUACGAACGGGUGAUAAAAGUCAUCCAAGUCUAAACAGAUCAGUACACCGAUAGCAAACAAGUAUUGCGAAUAAAACAUGAAAAGUACUCCUGGAGGAGGGUUAAACUCCUAAAAAGCUAAAAAUAAAGUCGUUGGUGUCGCUGCGGGUUCAACCCUGCUCCAUCUGUCUUUUAGACUUUUGGCUACCGACAUCAACCUACCCGUCUUGAAACACGGACCGAGGAGUCUAACAUGCCCGCGAGUUCAACAUUGCAGAUGAUGGGCGUGCGAAAGCGAAAAGUAUUUCACUACUAGCGGAGCGCGUAUGUUAGGUCCCGAAAAAUGGCGAACUAUUUCUGCUCAGGCUGAAGUCAUUGGAAACUUUGAUGGAAGGUCUCAACGGUUUUGACGUGCAAAUCGAUCGUGUGAAGCAGGUAUAGGGGCGAAAGACCAAUCGAGCCAUUUAGUUGCUGGUUCUCUCUGAAGUUUCCCUCAGGAUAGCGGUCCCUACAGAAUAAUGUGCGGUAAAGAGAAUGAUUAGAGGUAUCUGGGAAAGCUUUUCCUAGGCCGAUUUUCAAACUCAGAAUGCGCAUCAAUGAUUUCUCCAUGAAUUGUUGAAUUAUCUUAGGGAUCAGUGGGCCUUUUUUGGUAAGCAGAUCGGGCGAUGAGGGUUCCUCCUAGAGUCGAGAUAACGUGCUCAAAGCUACAUCAAUUAAAUGAUGUCAGUGCAUACUGACAGCAGGAGGGUGGCCAUGGAAGUUGGAAUCCACUAAGGAGUGUGUUACAACUCACCUGCCGAAUGUACUGGCUCAGAAAAUUGAUAGCUAACCCGUAGCAACUAAUUCUCGACGCUAAGUAAGAGAGCGUAGUGGUCGGAUAGAAUCCAGAGCGUGAGCCUUGGUCGACCGGCCACCAUUGCAGAUCUCGGUGGUAGUAGCACUUGCUAAAAUGGAACCUUUUAGGACCACUUGGACGAAGGUUCCACGACAACAGCCAAUGUUCGUGGGUAAGUCGGCCUUAAUCGCGCAGUCGAGAAAAGCAACCAGGUUAAUAUUCCUGGACAACACAGGAAAACGGCAACGUUUGCGCGGGUAUUUGUUAGGUGUUGGAAGGAGGGGGACUUUCGUCCCUCUUAACAGCUGUACGCCUCUGGAACUGUGUGAAACAGAGAUAGAGGCAGACACUGGAAUAAGUACCUCUUGCGGGUACUCCUGAGCCAGCACUUGACCUCUGAAAAAUACCCGCGUUCUGUGGUGUAGCCGUACCAAUAGCCGCAUCAGGUCUCCGAGACGCAAAGUCUUCGGUUCAAUGGAUGAAUGUAAGCAAGGGAAGUCGACAAGUUCGAUCCGUAACUUCGGGAAAAGGAUUGGCUUCGUGGACUUAGUGAGGAAUGUCUGUCCUAGCGAGGAAUGUGACUCUACCGAGUUGCUCCUACGCUGGGCACAGCAACCUCACUAGCAAUACAUGAAACUGACGCGCAAACGAGGAAUCUGACUGUUUAAUCGAAACGUAGCAUCAUGCAGCGUGGUGUGGACAUGAUGUGAUUUCUGCUCAGUGCUUUGAAAGUUAAAGUUGAGCAACCGACAGAAGCGCAGGUCAACAGCGGGAGUAACUAUGACUCUCUUAAGGUAGCGAAAUGCCUCGUCAUCUAAUUAGUGACGUGCAUGAAUGGAUCAAUGAGAUUCCCACUGUCCCUAUCUACUAUCUAGCGAAACCGCAGCCAAGGGAACGGA